rnacentral:rRNA from 1 species
GAUGAACGCUGGCGGCGUGCCUAAUACAUGCAAGUCGAGCGAACGGACGAGAAGCUUGCUUCUCUGAUGUUAGCGGCGGACGGGUGAGUAACACGUGGAUAACCUACCUAUAAGACUGGGAUAACUUCGGGAAACCGGAGCUAAUACCGGAUAAUAUUUUGAACCGCAUGGUUCAAAAGUGAAAGACGGUCUUGCUGUCACUUAUAGAUGGAUCCGCGCUGCAUUAGCUUGUUGGUAAGGUAACGGCUUACCAAGGCAACGAUGCAUAGCCGACCUGAGAGGGUGGUCGGCCACCCUGGAACUGAGGCACGGCCGAGACUCCGACGGUAGGCAGCAGUAGGGAAUCUUCCGCAAUGGGCGAGAGCCUAACGGAGCAACGCCGCGUGAGUGAUGACGGUCUUCGGAUCGUAAAACUCUGUUAUUAGGGAAGAACAUAUGUGUAAGUAACUGUGCACAUCUUGACGGUACCUAAUCAGAAAGCCACGGCUAACUACGUG